rnacentral:rRNA from 1 species
UACGGAAGGCAGCAGUGGGGAAUAUUGCACAAUGGGCGCAAGCCUGAUGCAGCCAUGCCGCGUGUAUGAAGAAGGCCUUCGGGUUGUAAAGUACUUUCAGUCGUGAGGAAGGUGUUAAGGUUAAUAACCUUAGCAAUUGACGUUAGCGACAGAAGAAGCACCGGCUAACUCCGUGCCAGCAGCCGCGGUAAUACGGAGGGUGCGAGCGUUAAUCGGAAUUACUGGGCGUAAAGGGCACGCAGGCGGUUAAUUAAGUUGGAUGUGAAAUCCCCGGGCUUAACCUGGGAAUGGCAUUCAAGACUGGUUAGCUAGAGUCUUGUAGAGGGGAGUAGAAUUCCAUGUGUAGCGGUGAAAUGCGUAGAGAUGUGGAGGAAUACCGGUGGCGAAGGCGGCCCCUGGACAAGACUGACGCUCAUGUGCGAAAGCGUGGGGAGCAAACAGGGAUUAGAUACC